UGUGAUGGAGGAAGAGGUUUGAGGGUGAGGACAUGAGGGUCUGAGGACGGAGAGCACGGUCUGAGGGAGGAGGAGCAGUUUGAGGAGGGCCUCCUUGGGACAGAGGGAAGAGAGGAGUGCUUGGGACCAAGCAGCGACUGAGGGAAGGGAAGAGAAGGGAGGCCUGGAGUCAGCCCCGCCCUGCAGCUGUCUAAUUUCCCAGAAUCUUCUACUGCUCAGGAAAGUCCCAGCUCCCACAGCCGCCUCCCUCCAGUGUCGGGAAUGGAGGAUGCGGAACCAGGACGGCUGCCCCCUCCUUUCCCCCCUGGCUCCCAGCACCCCAGGCUGGGAGGACUAGGGUCUCCCCUCUCGGCGCUUGAGCUCCGGAGGUCCCCUGCCGGCAGGGGGCAGCCCCUGGAUGAGUCCCAGAAAGUUCCCAGAGAGAGCCCGGAAGUCCUGCAUGGUGUCUAACCACUUUCCCUCACGCAGGCUGCCUUUUGUAUCUGUGCAAAUCUUUUCUUCCCUCCCACUGCUCCUUCCCUUCUACCCCUACCCCCAGGGAAGGAAGGGCUGAGCCCGUCCAAGGUCCCGAGAAGGAAACAAAGGCCUAGCUGGAAGGCUGUGGGCCUUGGGGCACUUUCUUGCUCUUGGGGGCCUUCCAAGAGGGGAGGAUAGUGCUUGUUAGAUACUAGGUUCCCAUUGGCUUAAUUCCUGGGCCUUUUUCUGUCCCAAGUUUUGCUCCCAACUGAGGCCCGAGCUUCUGUUUUCAUCAGCUGUGUGGCUUCCAGGCCAUUACUGAACUUCGUGGAGCCUCAACUUCCCCACCUAUCAGACAGACUAAAUCGAGACCCUAAUGCUUCCGUCCUCUAGGGCCCGAUGGAUAGGAAGUGCUAAAGGCGGUGUGGCUGCAAUUAUUAUGAUCCCUAUUAUAACCACAGGAACAACGGUGAUAAUUAUUCCUAUCCAGGAACCUGAAGUUUCAACAGCUGGGCCCAUUUCAUUGAGGAAAUUGGGACCCAACAUGCUGGGCCUGGAAGAUACGGGUUUGAGGCCGGGUUCUGCCAUGUGUCAGCUGUGUGUGACUUUGGAUAGGUGGCUUUCCCUCUCUGUGCCUUUGUUGGUGACUUUACUGUUGGGGAUCAUAACAGCUCCUGCCUCACAGGGUUGCAGAGCAGAUUGAGACCACGUGUACAGAAUGAAUAACUGAAUGAAUGAAUGAACGGUGUCCCUUCUUGCCUCCAUAUUGCCUGCCUUAACUCAUCGGGCCAGGCCUUCCCUGUAACCCUCUCCGCCCAGAGAUAAAGCAAGAUGGGCCCAUUCGCCGUGGGCUGAACUCCCAUGAAGAAUUGGCCCACGUAAUCCUCUUGACAUCUCGUGAGGAAAUCCAGCUGAAACUCCCAUUUUACGAGUAAAAUCCCAUUUUACAGAGACACAACAGAGGAGCGGAGUCCCUGCUCAGGGUCAUCAAGAUUUUAUGCCAGGUCUCUGUGUCCCCUGCACCCCGGCUGCUGGGGCAAUCGGUCCCCGAGACCACAGGCCUUCUGCCUCCUGUCUAACUCCAGACCCCUAUCCCCUAAGAAGGGAAUGGCUCAGGAGGGGAAAACUCAGGCACAAAGAGGCAAAGUCACGGCCAGAGAUUAGCAGGUCUACAGUCUGUCUGCAGGCUCCAGGCACAGGGAGGGUCGAGCUGAUGGAGGGAAGGUCGCGUCGCAGCAGGAAGGUAUAGAUUUAGAUUGAAGAGAGGGUUCCGGGAAAGCGAGCAGAGUGCACAGACAGAGGAGAACAGACCUGAGCCUGGAGCUGGGGGGCCCUGCCCAAGGUCACACAGCUUUGGGCUGCGAUUCCACCCUGGGUUUGCAGACUGCCCUGCUCCCAGAGGCUGCCCUUCCCCCCACCCCCCCAGGAGUGAAUACAGGCCAGCUUCCUGCAGCAUGGCCUGUACCUCCUGGUUCCUCCCCACCCUGGGGCCUUGGCAGCUUCUGGAACCCCUGGCACCAAGCAGGAUCGGCCCUUCUGGGGCCUUGGCCAAGACUUGAUCUUCCCCUUUCUCCCUCUUGCUGGGUCUGCACGCACGACGCUGAGUCAGAGGAUUGCAACAUCCUCUCCUCGGGCUUUGAGACCAGACAUCCUCUGCCCCGUGCACUGCCUCUGUCGGGCCAAGAUAUGGGAGCGGCAGAGGCUGCUUGGAUGUCUCAAGAAAAGACAUGCGGCGUGGCUGCCCCGCGUGCAGAUGGCUGGCUGAGAGCCUCCCGCAGUUGGUUCCUUCAAGUUCUGCCUCAGCUUGCCAGUCGGGGACACCAGCUCCUGGCAGCGUCUGGCCAUUGACUGAGCCAGGCAAGGCACCUCCUUUCUGGAAGACCGGAUCCGUGCCGAUGGACUUUGGAGUCGGACAACCGGAGCACGAGUGUUGUCUCUGCCUGGGUGGCUUCGGAGCGGCAUCUGAUCUCUCCGAGCCUCAGUUUCCCCCUCUGAGUCAUGGGAACGGUAACGUGAUGGCUGAGAGGCUCCAGUGAGUCAGCAACGAAGCCCUUAGCACACUUACCUGGCACCCAUACGUCACACUCAUCCAUCGGGAGGGAGACAGAUCUGGGCCUAUUUUCCACUCUGCCGGUUUCUGGCCUCUAAGCCUGGUCUGUAAGGUGGGGAUGGACCCUGUCCUUCCCCGAGUAGGGCGCCCUGAGUCAGGUGCGGAAAGCCCCGGCCAAGCCUGGCACACCAGAAGCUCGAUAGCCGGGUGGUGUCAUUGCGGCCACUGCCUUGAGGGGCUGAGCCGGCCAAGUCAUCUGAGGAACAGGUGAGCAGGGAGCUGUAGGGCAGGCAUGUCUCACCCCCGUGGGGCCCUGGUCUUGGGCUGACCAACGAAGGGAAGUCCCAGGGCUGGGAAACCGUGGCGUCCUCCUGUAGAAGCUCCCUGAUUCUGGGAUACACCACAGAGGUGGGGAGGAGGGAGGAGGAAGCCCCCUGCCUUGCUCAUUCAGUGGGCAAGAAGGGAGGGAGAAUGUACGAGAAAAAAAAAAAAAAAGUCGGUCUCCCUCGUCAGACUAGAGCAGACCUCCUCCAUCAGACUGGGAGGUCCCUGGGGUGGGGACAGGUUCCCCGUCAGUGUAGGAGUUCCUUGUGCCUUUGAGUUGCGUUCUCCCUCCUCCGUCAGAUCAGGAUCUCCCUCAGAAGGGGGCGUGUGUCACUUGUCCACGGAUUAGAUUAUCUCUAAGAGUGAGUGAUGCCUCCCCUAUCAGACUGGGAAUUUUCCCCGGGGGUCGGGGUGGGGGGUGUCUGGGGCAUGCCUCUCUGGGGACUGGGAGGUCGCUCGAGAUGAGGCGACAUGUUCCCCUCGUCUGUCUAAGGACAUCGGUUCUCAAUUGAGGGGGGCAAUUUUGCCCCCUUCGGGGGACAUCCGGAUGAGUAUUAGACUAGAGCUUCCUGAAGAUGGUGGGCAUGCCUCCGCCAUCGUUCUAAAGUUCCCUGAGAGUGAGUCUGGGUCCUGCCUCCUCCAUCAGACUGUCGCGCUGAGUUGUGGAGCUUGAAUUGGCCGUUGUAUGGGGAGCCCUGUGAGGGUGAGAUUAAUCUUAUCCCCAGCAUUAAAUGGGAAGUUUGGAUUACUCAGGAGGGAGCUGUUGCCUGUCUCCUCCAUCAGAUUAGUGCUUGCUUCCAGAGCCCUGAGUCGAGGAAGUCUCUCUCUCCCGUCAACCCAGCCACUCCCUGAGACGGGACAAGCCUCCCCCAGUUGGAGUCCCCACCACUUUGCAAACGCACUCCCCAGGGCACAGCCCAGAACCCAUCCCGGAGGAAGGGACAACACCUUCCCUGGAGAGCCAGCCUUUUUUCCUGGAAGUUGGCAUGUCCCCAGCCCGAGGCCACAACCACUGCUGCGGCCACCAGGGCCUAAAAAUACAGAUGUAAAAGUUCCCUGGGCUCCUGGGAACGCCGAGGUCACACCAGGCUCUUCCUCAUUUGAGCCAGAGCCACAGCGAACUGUCCUCUCCUGUGCCCCAACUAUCGUCCCAGCGGGAGCCACCACCCCUGCCCUCCAGCCCCCUUCCCAACAGAGUGAGGACCAGGGCGGGGGUCUCCACCACCAGACUUGUGGAGUCGGGUCGCCAGCCGGAAGCAACGCCUGGCACCGCUUCUCAGCUCUGCAACUCUGGGCAGGCAUCUGGAAGGCGUGAGGCCGCACCCGUGGAUUGCCUGGCCCUGGGCUGGCUGGUGACAGAUGGGGUAAACCGGGGCGGGCGGGGGGCGCUCCUCCAGUCAUGCCCUGCAGGAGCUGCGGGUGGGGGUGGCUGUCGGCUUGUGGCGGCUCCUUUGGCCAUUACCCAUCUCUGAACUUGUCACUUUGGCCUCCUGUGGUUACGUGGCGUCACAGUGCGUUGGCUCACUUCUGGGAAAAUCAAAUCGUAUUGUGUGUUUCAGAUCCCAAUUCUCCUCCUGCGGGUUCCCUCUGCCGCCCUCCUGCCUUCGGGCCCAGGAAUGUUACCCCCCUGGAGACCCAAGUCAUCUGAGGAGCAGAACGGGGCCGAACGGUGGGAUUCAAAAAAUACGUAUUUUCACAUUAUGAAACAUAAUGUGGAGAAUUACAUACAAGACAAUGUUCCAUUUUACGACCUGUUGUAAAGAGAACAGUAAUAGUUUUGCCAGUUCAUCAGAAGCCCCUUUGUGCCUCUUCCAAAUCACAACACUUUUCCUCCCUUCAGGUAACCCGUGUUUCUUUUAUGUGUUUUUUGCCCUCUUUUAUACAUUUUUUUU